UGGGGAAUAUUGGGCAAUGGGCGCAAGCCUGACCCAGCAACGCCGCGUGAAGGAAGAAGGCUUUCGGGUUGUAAACUUCUUUUAUUAGGGACGAUAAUGACGGUACCUAUUGAAUAAGCUCCGGCUAACUACGUGCCAGCAGCCGCGGUAAUACGUAGGGAGCAAGCGUUAUCCGGAAUUACUGGGUGUAAAGGGAGUGUAGGCGGGACUGUAAGUCAGAUGUGAAAUAUGCCGGCUCAACUGGCAGACUGCAUUUGAAACUGUGGUUCUUGAGUGAAGUAGAGGUAAGCGGAAUUCCUGGUGUAGCGGUGAAAUGCGUAGAUAUCAGGAGGAACAUCAGUGGCGAAGGCGGCUUACUGGGCUUUAACUGACGCUGAGGCACGAAAGCGUGGGUAGCAAACAGGAUUAGAUACCCUGGUAGU
rnacentral:rRNA from 1 species